GGUCCCAUAGGAGGGAGCUCACUGAGGGGCUCACAGGAGGGGAUCCACGGGGGAGGGGCCCAUAGCUGGGAGUCCAUAGCGAGGAGCCCAUGAGGGGGCCCAUAGGAGGGAGAUAAAAGGGGUACCCACAGCAGGAGCGCAUAGCAGGGGGCCCACAGCGGGGAGCCCAUGGUGGAGGGGCCCAAAGGAGGGAACUCACAGAGGGGGCUCACAGUGGGGGCCCACAGCAGGGGGCCUAUAGCAGGAGCCCACAAUGGGGACCCCACAGUAGGGUGUAGACGGCUUGUUGCCCAGAGCACCUUGGCAUGUAUGAAUGUGUGCAUGAGUGCGUGCAUGCCGUUCCAGCUCACAGUGAGUGAGCGGCUCCCUGGUGGCUUCUCGGCAUCACAGGCCCAGGGGUAUGUCUGUUGGCUCCACAGUCAGCUUCAGCCACCCCCUUGCUGCCUGGGGGCCAGGACUCCAAGAGCAUCCUGGCUGCAGGGCUCCCGACCCAGGGCCUCUUCUGAGCCCAGGCCCGUCACUCACGGCCAUCCCAUGUCGCUGUCCUGAGACCAGCAGCCAAGGUGCCUCGCUUCAAUCCAGCUACUGAGCCUGGGAGAGCCCCCAGCUUUACAGAUGUGCCGAGUACAGCGGCCCUGAUACCGAGAUGAAGGCCUUGGAGACCCAGGGCACUCAGCCUCGGGUGGAGGCUCAGGGACCUGGUUGUUUUGGCGGCGGUGGCUCCUGGGGGGUCUGCCUCACCAGCCGCAGGGGGUAGAGACACCUGGGUGGUCCUGCUCUGUGGAGAGGACCUGAGCCUGGAGGCCUCACCCUGUCCAGGGCCCUGGCUCCCCCACCUCCUGGCUGUCAGCCAAACUGCCCGCGGGAUUUAGUUUAUUUGCUGUUCCCUUGUGUGGCUGUUGAAUCAGGAAGGAGAGAGGGGCCAGCAAUGCACUGGCUCACAGACCCUCGGCCUCUGUCCCUGGGCAAAUAAGUGCACAAAGGAACCUUGAGGAACCCUUAGCGCUUUGCCAAGUCCCUACGUGCAGGAUUCCAGGCAGGCUUGCUUUUAGGAAACCUGCGUCUGUCACGUCCACAUGGAUGACGCUGGGGGAAAGAACAUGUGACAUGUUCAGAAUACAGAGAAGCAGCCAAAGGCCUUAAAUAACUUAAUGAGGUUUCCUUGUAACACAAAAGCCAAUCAGAUUUUUAAUUGAGAAGCGAUGUGUUCUCUUUCGGACACACGAGUUUGCAGCCCAUCGUUUGCUUACCUCCGUGUGCCAUCGGAACCGUCUUUAUUAUCCUGUGAGCCGAAGCGGCACAAACGGGUUGUCAGAGCAGAUGCUGGUCGGUUGCUGGGUCAUGUGAGCUUCUGAGGACCUGUGAGAGACUGGGCCCCCAGACCCACAGCCUGGCAUCAGAAGGCAGCACAGCUAGGCUCUUUCCUCCCCCGUAUAUCAGCACCAGAGGGAAGACUCCUGGAAAAGAGGGCAACACCUGUCACAAUAGGCAUGCCACAGUGGCAGGGAUGCAAACGCGCCAGUGGAACAGACGCCCCGCCUGAGCAGUACAUGGUCCACAGGUCCACAGCCUGCAAAAGUACCCCAGGCCUGACACUCAACUAGAGAUGUAGUGGAUGAAACCUCCAGGAUGCAGUAAAACAGUGCCCAUCAUUCCAGCAAUCAAGACAAUCUAACUUGAGGAAAAAAACAGUCAAAUGACAGCAACAGUCAGGUGAAUUCCAUGUUGCAAUUAUAUGGCGAUGUUUUAGAGCCGGAGAGCCAA